UUUGCUCUCAUUUUUUAGGGAGCCAAGAAAAAAUGUGAUGUAUAAAACUCCCGAUGAUUAAUUGUAUAACUCCAGGAUUCCAAAGAGCAAAUUAUCAGUGCCACUACCUAGUAUUUUAAAGUUAUGGCUUAUCAUUUUUAUGCAAAAAAAAAAGAUUUAUAAAGUAUCAAAUUUGUAGAAGAAAGGAUUCCAAAAACUCAAAAGAGAAACAUCAUAUGUGGCAGAGACUACUUGCCACUAACCCAUGAUCUAUUCUCUUUAGUAAAAGAACCACAGUUUUAUUCGACAUCGUAUGUAAUAAGCAAAAGGAAUCUAUUUCUGGGUUUCCUAGCAACCAGGUGAGACCAUGUAAAUAGGUUUGGAGCAAUGCAGCUUAGGCUAAUGUGUUACUUCAAGGAAACACCCAUAAGAGGUAUAAGACCAUGAUCACUAAAUGGAAAUAGGACGAGUGGAAAGGAAUCUUAACAGCAACAACAGAUGUACAUCAACAGCUAUCAACGAAAAAUUGCACCAGAUUAAACAAGCGAGGACAACUUAAUUAAAGACUAUUGUAAUAGUGGUCAAAACUGUUUGAAUCGGGGAUAGAAGCAAAACUCAACUCCACUAAAACAAAAGUCAGGAGAGUUUCUCAGCAAUGGGGUGAGUUGGUAAAAACGUGUUGGUCAAUGUGCUUAGACUAUGUGUGUUUACUAAUUGGCUUAUACUGAAGUU
rnacentral:lncRNA from 1 species